GAAUUUGUUUGAAGAGAUGGAGAGGGAUGUUAUGCAUUAGCUUUCACGAAGAAGAAUGGGUAUCUUUUUAUGUUUCUCUCUCCUUUUUCUCAUUUUACUUAAAUUAUUGGUUAUUAACAAAUAAAAAUACAAAAGAAAAUGCUUCCUUUAUUUUAUCAGGUUAUCUUUCUUAAAUCUCAAAAAAUCAAAAAAUAUAGAAAU
rnacentral:lncRNA from 1 species